GUCAUGGGGGCUUCUGGGCCCCUUUUCUGUUCUAGUGAACCAGAGAAGGUGAUUGUGGCAUCUCAGACCCCCAAGGAAGGGGGAGGCAGGGUGCAGCCACACAAACAAACAGUGAGCAAGUUCCCUGCGGGUUCAGAGCCCUGGCCUUGGCACCAUCAUUCACUCUGGGGGUUCAGGGGAGGCAGAGGCUUCUGACUUGCCUUCCACAGUGCUAGGGAGCCAAUGUCUGUCCUUGAGCAACCAUAGCAAUGUAACAAAACUGGUUCUUUAUGGUUUGGGGACUGCAGCACUUUGCAGAGGAUUGGCUGGGGAAAGACAGGUCAGUGGACAGAGGCCCCCUGGAGGUGAAGGUGCAGGCUGGGGAGUGGGCGUGGGAGAUACAGGGAGGCUUGGCUAAGGCUGGCAUUAGGGAGCAGGAAGACACAAAGCUCCGUCUCAGGCUUCUUGCUUGGGUGUUGUUCUGGGUUGAAUCCUGAUUCUCUUUUCCUCGAAAAAGAAAGUUUCUAUGUUGAAGUUCAAAGCAGUUCUUGAAAAUGUGACCUUAUUUGGAGACAGUGUCUUUACAGAAGUAAUCAAGUAAAAAUGAGGCGUUA
rnacentral:lncRNA from 1 species